rnacentral:rRNA from 1 species
AUUGAACGCUGGCGGCAGGCCUAACACAUGCGAGUCGAGCGGAUGAAGGGAGCUUGCUCCUGGAUUCAGCGGCGGACGGGUGAGUAAUGCCUAGGAAUCUGCCUGGUAGUGGGGGAUAACGUCCGGAAACGGGCGCUAAUACCGCAUACGUCCUGAGGGAGAAAGUGGGGGAUCUUCGGACCUCACGCUAUCAGAUGAGCCUAGGUCGGAUUAGCCAGUUGGUGGGGUAAAGGCCUACCAAGGCGACGAUCCGUAACUGGUCUGAGAGGAUGAUCAGUCACACUGGAACUGAGACACGGUCCAGACUCCUACGGGAGGCAGCAGUGGGGAAUAUUGGACAAUGGGCGAAAGCCUGAUCCAGCCAUGCCGCGUGUGUGAAGAAGGUCUUCGGAUUGUAAAGCACUUUAAGUUGGGAGGAAGGGCAGUAAGUUAAUACCUUGCUGUUUUGACGUUACCAACAGAAUAAGCACCGGCUAACUUCGUG